GACGAACGCUGGCGGCGUGCCUGACACAUGCAAGUCGGACGGUUCUUGUAUCUUCAAGCUUGCUUGCAGGUGCAAGGAUAGUGGCGGACGGGUGAGUAACGCGUGAACAUCUACCCAUUGGAGGGGGACAACCCGUCGAAAGGCGGGCUAAUACCGCGUAAGCCGCGAGGUGAGAGGCUGCCUAUUGGUGGCCGCCGGUGGAUGGGUUCGCGUCCUAUCAGCUGGUUGGUGGGGUAACGGCCUACCAAGGCGAAGACGGGUAGCCGGUCUGAGAGGAUGGCCGGCCACACUGGAACUGAGACACGGUCCAGACUCCUACGGGAGGCAGCAGUGGGGAAUAGUUGGGGCAAGUGGGGGAGACCCUGACCCAGCGACGCCGCGUGAGGGAUGGAAGGUUUUCGGAUCGUAAACCUCUGUUGUACGGGAAGAAGGAUGUGACGGUACCGUACGAGAAACGCCCCGGACAAACUACGUGCCAGCAGCCGCGGUAAGCUAGUCUACG
rnacentral:rRNA from 1 species